rnacentral:rRNA from 1 species
CCCUUAGAUGUCCUGGGCCGCACGCGCGUUACACUGAUGCAUUCAACGAGUCUAAAACCUGGUCUGAUAGGGCUGGGUAAUCUUUUGAAUGUGCAUCGUGAUUGGGAUAGAUGAUUGCAAUUCUUCAUCUUCAACGAGGAAUGCCUAGUAAACGCAAGUCAUCAGCUUGCAUUGAUUACGUCCCUGCCCUUUGUACACACCGCCCGUCGCUCCUACCGAUUGAAUGUUCCGAUGAAUACCAUGGACUGAGAGUAUGAAUGGGUUCGCCUAUUUCUGCUUCUCGGGAAGUGGAGUAAAUCUUAACAUUUAGAGGAAGGAGAAGUCGUAACA